UCUCGGUAAACUUCCAUACAAUCGGAAUUAAAAUAAGAAAUGACACUUGGUAUACAGUCUACACACGGGAGAUACGUACUUGCUCUUCCGACCAUUUGAACAGCUCGCACGCCUUUCCGGAAUGUGGCCACUGCCCGAAGGGAGGAGAACCAGAGCUGUUAGUUGUCACACCAAAACAAUUGUCAACCUAGAUGCGGGGGUCUCAACGGGUGUGUAUAGGGGAGGGAACUAAAUCCGUGGUCCCGAUCGAUAUGUCACGUUUUAGUAUACUCAAAAGUGUGACUUAUCUUUAUCAGAUACUCCGACCGCUUUUUGCGAUUUUCGACUUUCGAGUGCGAUUUCUCAUUGAAUAAUCGAAAAAUUUCAAUCAUGUGUAACAAUUUCUGUGCAGAAGCCGAAACAUCGCAAGAUCGCGUUGAAGACCGGAAAUCUCAAGAGAGAGAGAGAGAGAUCUCCAGCGCGAUUUCGAGCGCGGUCACGGUUGAUCUUGAUAAAUCACAAAUACGUGUUCUCGUUUUUCGCGAAAAUGCGCCGCCGUCGCUUACUGCAACGUGACCUUCGAUAGAGGGAUUUAUUAUUAAUACUGGUGUUACAACCAUUGCAUAAUUUACUUCGGUCUACUUUGGGGGCACGUCGUAACACGGAGAGAUCGGUGUGCAUCUGCACUUGGUGGACCGUCAUGUGCUCGGGAAUAUAUUAUACCUCGCAUCAAAUCGCUUUCUCAAAUGUCAGAUAUCGGUUGCAGAGUGUCGGCGUUAUUGUUGUGAUGUUGGUGAGGUGGUGUCAAAUAUGCUUGCGAAAGAGAGAGAGAGAGAGAGAGAGAUACAUAUACAUGUAAGGGGAGAAAAUGAGAUAUUUUUAGCCGGUGUGUUCGAUAAACCCUGGGCAUCGAUUAUCAUCGUCCCCUGCAAGCUGGUGUAAGCUCACAGUGAAGCUCACGUCUUCGGUGGACUUUCUUGGUUGCGUGCCGGAUUCAAUUAAUCAGCCGCAGUUAGCGACAUUGAAAAUACAAUAUAUCGCGGAAAUGGAAUUCCUCGUGCGCGCGGCCAAGAUCGAUACGUCGCGCUUAAUAACGCGCUGACGUGGAUCUUUUGCCAAGGUAUUAAAAGCGGUCCGCAGUUAGAAAUAAGAACGACGCGACAAGAACGCGCAUCGUAUCUCGUUAAACUUAACUUAAACCGGAACUUCUCUCGAGCGACGCUCGAGGCGUGCUCUGUCGAGUCUGUGCAUGUGAACUGUGCUCUAUCUUUAAAAAAUGUACUCUAUCAUUAUCUGUUUUCUUCUGUUUUUUUUAGGUGGAUGCCGAAGAUAAAAUUCGCGUACUUCGAGUAUUGACGCAAAACUUUCAAGAUGGGCAUCUGCAACCACUAUCUACCUUCGUAAGAUCGACGAUAUUGCAUGUUGGAUUAGAUCAGAGUAGCACCAAAAUUUGUUGCAGCAGCUUGAUUCCAACAACGAUUAAUUGUACAACUUAUUACAAGUAAGGGCAAAAAGACGUUUCUCGAGAAAGUAUAAAUGAAAAUUAUAACAUUAAUUCCACGUGCAAUUGUAACAUUGAUUCUAUGAUACAUAAUACAUAAUACAUGAUACAUAAUACAUUUAAGAAAACGACCUUCGCGAGAAACGUUCGAUCAAUGCAAAGACAAUGCAUACCUUUAUAUAAGAAAAAUAUACAAGGUGACUCAAAAUAGUAAUUAAUCAAUUCCGUUCAAUUUUGCAGAUACAAGAGGCAAAUGUACGUGAAAUAUACAGUAUUGGGCAACCUUGUAUACCAAACAACACCCCAGCUCCAAACUGCCGCGAUCAUCGCAGCGAGCAGUCCAAAAAAGAAACUGAGCAAGUGAGCGCGAUAAUUUGAGACUGGGGAUGAAUGAGUUAUCAAUAAAAAUCCACGUAAGCACACUGAACGACAGAACGAAUAAUCGUUAGACAGCAAGCCUGAAACAUGAUACGAGCGUACCCGCCGACUGGUGUUACGUGGCAACCACUUAACGUGAAGACAUUGAUUGUAUAUUACGGCUCGGCAACGUGCAAGAAUGCGUUUCUGCGCGGUAAGCGGCCAUUGUAUUGUAAUUGUAUAUACUUGUGAACGUGAAGCUGAACGUGUUACGCAUUAAGUUAAUUGAUCUGCGACACAUGAUUGUCCGCUCCGUUCAAUCUGCCGUGCUUGUUAAUCAGGACCUCUUCGGGCCCCGAAGGGGACCGAGGAAGAAGAAGAAGCGGCCAACAAUGUUAGUGCCAACGUAUGCUAAUAACGACUGUAUGCUGCUGCAUUAAGGAGGAGAGAGGGCGAUGCGCUCGAUAAACUCGCUCAUGUAAUGCCAUCAGCUCUAGCGAAAGCCCAACGAUAAACAAUACGAGUAUCGAACGGAUCCAAGGGGGGUCCACGUACGAAUUCCGGCAUGGCAUUAGUCACAACGUAUGGAUUACAUCCAAUCACAAUGACGGGUAAUACCCGGAUACAGCCACGCAGGAUACGCAAUGCUGAAAAACAACAGAAAAUAAGCUCUCGGACGAGUAUCCAGCACUUCUCCGUCACUAGAUUUUCCAGGAAACCUAAAACCAUUGGAUUAACGCUGAUCGCGAUCAAUCAAUCGAUCGACCGCCUGCAGAUCGCGCCCGGCACUCUGCACGCUUACGAGUACCGAGAACGUUGAUUGCCCAGGGUUUAGAUGGUAUUAUGCCAUUCCUGUACAUGGACAGAGACUCGAUCGUGUGACUGAUCGAGCGCAGCAACUCAGGGGAGAACAGAGAGAGAGAGAGAGAGACUCAUCGAGUGGAUAUGGUCGUGUACGUAUGGUUGUGUGUAAUUCGAGUGUGUGGCUCGACCGCAAAACGCGGCAGUACGUCUUCCUCGCGUGUGACAUGGACGGUUUCAUCGACAGGGUGAUCUGAAUGUACCUCCCUUUUUUUUUAUUGUGCCCCUGUACGACAUCGGUACGAGGCGGAGGAUGCCACUUCUGUCAUAAGCGCGUCAUCAGCUGAUCCGAACUUCGCGACUCGGAAAAACGAAAGAAAACGCCGACGCGAUCGGCGAGAGUUCUCAUCGACAACAUAGCUGGUACGUUGAGAGAGAAAGAGAGAAAGAGAAAGAAAAAGAGUGAGAAAAAAUGAGGGGAGAGAGCUGGCACACGAUUGAAGAGAAUAGAAUUUCGGAAAGAAGGGUGACUUCGCGGAGACAGCAAAA